rnacentral:rRNA from 1 species
AUGGCUCAGUGAGGCCUUGGGACUGGCUCAGAGAGGUCGGCAACGACCACUCAGAGCCGGAAACUUGGUCAAACUUGGUCAUUUAGAGGAAGUAAAAGUCGUAACAAGGUUUUAUCUUCUAAGUGAUGAAGAUGAUCAUAUUAAUGAUCCUUCUGCAGUAAUACUUAUGGAAGCCUUUGCGUCCUGAAAGGGUCGGUCUCGUACGACUAUAAACAAAUAAUGACGAGCCAUAAUCGCAAGUCUGGUCUCUAGGGGCCAGGCAACACUGUCAAAUUGCGGGAACCCCCUAAAGUCUCUUGUACUAAGCCAUGGCCGAAAGGUCGUGGUGGCCAGGGUAAUGCCCUCGGGUACAGUCACAGCCAAGAGAAUAGAUCGCCUGUCUUGGGCGUGAAAAUGGGCAAUCUGCAGCCAAGUCCUAAAGCCGCCGACCUGGUGGUCACGGAUGCAGUUCACAGGCCAAAUGGUAGUGGGUGAGGCGUUGCCUUGCUUAAGAUAUGGUCGGGCCCCUUGGGAAACCUUGGGGAUAAUUUACUGAACAACACACCCCAUGGGGGAGGUAUAUGUGUGCGCACGAAAGAUUUGUGAUGCAACGCACCUGCCAACUCUAUCCCAUCCUCCCUUUAAUGAAGAACCGUUCCGUAGGUGAACCUGCGGAAGGAUCAUUACCGAGUUAGGGUCCUCUGGGCCCGAACCUCCCAACCCUUUGUCUACUACACCUCUGUUGCCUCGGCGGGCCCGUCCUUCACCGGACCGCCGGAGGACCGUCGCCCAGCGGCGGCCUCUGGCCCGUGCCCGUCGGUGGCCAACCUUGAAACUCUGUAUAAAUCGUGUCGUUUUGUCUGAAUACACAAUUAAAAUUAACGCAAAACUUUCAACAACGGAUCUCUUGGUUCUGGCAUCGAUGAAGAACGCAGCGAAAUGCGAUAAGUAAUGCGAAUUGCAGAAUUCCAGUGAGUCAUCGAAUCUUUGAACGCACAUUGCGCCCCUUGGCAUUCCGAGGGGCAUGCCUGUUCGAGCGUCAUUAUCACCCCUCAAGCCCCGCGCUUGGUGUUGGAGGGUCCGGUCGAGUUUGCCUCGCCCCCUCCCAAAGACAAUGACGGCGGCCUGCAGUUCCCCCGGCACACUGAGCUUUUCAUCGAGCACGUGUCGGAUAAAAGGGUACUCGGGCCACGGUCCUCUUCCUAGCAUUAGGAAAACUCCACGCAAGGUUGACCUCGGAUCAGGUAGGAAUACGCGCUGAACUUAAGCAUAUCAAUAAGCGCAGGAAAAGAAACCAACAGGGAUUGCCUCAGUAACGGCGAGUGAAGCGGCAACAGCUCAAAUUUGAAAUCUGGCCUCUUGGGGUCCGAGUUGUAAUUUGUAGAGGAUGUUUUGGGUACCGCCCCGGUUUAAAUUUCUUGGAACAGAAUGUCAGAGAGGGUGAGAAUCCCGUCUUGGACCGGUGGUAGGGCCUGUGUAAAACUCCUUCGACGAGUCGAGUUGUUUGGGAAUGCAGCUCAAAAUGGGUGGUAAAUUUCAUCUAAAGCUAAAUAUUGGCCAGAGACCGAUAGCGCACAAGUAGAGUGAUCGAAAGAUGAAAAGCACUUUGAAAAGAGAGUUAAACAGUAUGUGAAAUUGUUGAAAGGGAAGCGCUUACAACCAGACUUGCGCGCGGCGGUUCCCCUUGCCUUUUGGUUAGGCUACUCCGCCGCGUCCAGGCCAACAUCGGUUUUGGGGGCCAGUUAAAGGCCCUGGGAAUGUACCUACCUACGGGUAGACUUAUAGACCAGGGUGCCAUGUGGCCUUCCGGGACCGAGGAACGCGCUUCGGCUCGGAUGUUGGCGUAAUGGUUGUCAGCGACCCGUCUUGAAACACGGACCAAGGAGUCUAACAUCUAUGCGAGUGUUUGGGUGUCAAACCCGGAACGCGGAAUGAAAGUGAACGGAGGUAGGAAGCUUCGGCUGCACUAUCGACCGAUCCUGAAGUUUACGGAUGGAUUUGAGUAAGAGCAUAGCUGUUGGGACCCGAAAGAUGGUGAACUAUGCCUGAAUAGGGUGAAGCCAGAGGAAACUCUGGUGGAGGCUCGCAGCGGUUCUGACGUGCAAAUCGAUCGUCAAAUUUGGGUAUAGGGGCGAAAGACUAAUCGAACCAUUAAAGUUACCGGUGGUUGAGUGUGCCUACGACAUAAAGUAGGUGCAAGUGCCGAAUUCUGGCGCAACACUGUCAAAUUGCGGGGACUCCCUAAAGCUUCAACGACCGUCGCGUGUGUGAAAGCGCACGCCGACACCAGGUUAACGGCCUCGGGUAUGGUAAAACAGUUGAAGAUGGACCAAUGGGUAAUCUGCAGCCAAGUCCUACGGGCUCCUCGAGCCUACGGAUGCAGUUCACAGACUAAAUGGCAGUGGGCCUCCCUCGCGGGGCUUAAGACAUAGUCGAUCCCCCGGAGAGAUCCGGGCGCAUACGCUAAAUCCUAGGUGAAGAAUUCUAUCGUCAUAGUCGCCUUGGGACCGGAACGGUGCGGGUGCCUCUGGCAUCGAGUAA